rnacentral:lncRNA from 1 species
GCAGGCAUGGGCGCACGUGGGUGGAGAUGACAGUGGCAGUUGGCGGUGGUUGCUGGCAGAGCAGGUGAGCAGAAGACCAAGGGUGGUUGUGGCGCUAGGCUAGGGAGAGCGGCUAGGUUUUUUUUGUUUCUUUCUUUUUUUUUGGCUGAAAAUAGUUUAGGUUUUUGGCUUGUUAGGCCAUUAGGGUUUUAAUUUAUUUGGGCUGAUGUUUGGGUCAUGGGUGUUGGGUUAGUGUUUAGGUGGGUUGAGGUUUGGGUGUAUGUAUUUUAUUUGUUUGUAAUGGGCCCGGGUGAAAUUGGGCUUCUACACAAUUCACAUUUAAACUAGAGUUAAAAACAAGUAUUUCAUUAAUUUGAGCAAUACUAAAUCAUUACAAACAAAACUCUUAGCUCAAAUAGGCCUUAAAACAUUGUUUGGAGGUCUGAAUUUAAAAAUUGGGAGCCAAGUCUCGAUACUUAGGGCCAGUGUAUCGAUACAUG